rnacentral:rRNA from 1 species
GACGAACGCUGGCGGCGUGCUUAACACAUGCGAGUCGAACGGAAAGGCCCUGCUUUUGUGGGGUGCUCGAGUGGCGAACGGGUGAGUAACACGUGAGUAACCUGCCCUUGACUUUGGGAUAACUUCAGGAAACUGGGGCUAAUACCGGAUAGGAGCUCCUGCUGCAUGGUGGGGGUUGGAAAGUUUCGGCGGUUGGGGAUGGACUCGCGGCUUAUCAGCUUGUUGGUGGGGUAGUGGCUUACCAAGGCUUUGACGGGUAGCCGGCCUGAGAGGGUGACCGGCCACAUUGGGACUGAGAGACGGCCCAGACUCCUACGGGAGGCAGCAGUGGGGAAUAUUGCACAAUGGGCGGAAGCCUGAUGCAGCAACGCCGCGUGCGGGAUGACGGCCUUCGGGUUGUAAACCGCUUUCGCCUGUGACGAAGCGUGAGUGACGGUAAUGGGUAAAGAAGCACCGGCUAACUACGU